GUGGCAACGCGGGAGUCGCGUUGCCGCAGGGGGCGCAUUGGGGUCCAGCCGUCCCCGGAACGCAGAUCAGAGGUAGUCGGACCUUUCUCGCUGGCGCGCGGCCUCAGCCAG
rnacentral:antisense_RNA from 1 species